AAAUUGAAGAGUUUGAUCAUGGCUCAGAUUGAACGCUGGCGGCAGGCCUAACACAUGCAAGUCGAACGGUAACAGGAAGAAGCUUGCUUCUUUGCUGACGAGUGGCGGACGGGUGAGUAAUGUCUGGGAAACUGCCUGAUGGAGGGGGAUAACUACUGGAAACGGUAGCUAAUACCGCAUAACGUCGCAAGACCAAAGAGGGGGACCUUCGGGCCUCUUGCCAUCGGAUGUGCCCAGAUGGGAUUAGCUAGUAGGUGGGGUAACGGCUCACCUAGGCGACGAUCCCUAGCUGGUCUGAGAGGAUGACCAGCCACACUGGAACUGAGACACGGUCCAGACUCCUACGGGAGGCAGCAGUGGGGAAUAUUGCACAAUGGGCGCAAGCCUGAUGCAGCCAUGCCGCGUGUAUGAAGAAGGCCUUCGGGUUGUAAAGUACUUUCAGCGGGGAGGAAGGGAGUAAAGUUAAUACCUUUGCUCAUUGACGUUACCCGCAGAAGAAGCACCGGCUAACUCCGUGCCAGCAGCCGCGGUAAUACGGAGGGUGCAAGCGUUAAUCGGAAUUACUGGGCGUAAAGCGCACGCAGGCGGUUUGUUAAGUCAGAUGUGAAAUCCCCGGGCUCAACCUGGGAACUGCAUCUGAUACUGGCAAGCUUGAGUC
rnacentral:rRNA from 2 species